AGAGUUCGGCCCCUGGAAUUCUGAGAACUAAUUUGCUAUUCGGUGACAUAAGAGAGAUCCGGGGCUGAGGCCACCCCGCUCUCGGUCGUGAAAGCCCCACAAACACCGCCGGCCUCCUCGCAACACACCAGAUCCCCCCCACCCCCCAGCAAAAGGCGUUACAAUGUAGGGACCUAGGGAAAGGGGGGGGGGGGUGAGCUUUUCAUAACGCAGGAGGAGAGGGGGGAAAAAACCCGAAUAAAAAAUGCAGGAGGAGGAGGCAGACAAAAUCUCAGGCAGUCAGUAGGGAGGCGAGACACAGGAUCGUUUAACGUUAUUUUUGCAUCUGCUCGAGCAAGUUUCUCCUUUAAAAAGAUCCCGGGAUCCUGCUACCUUGGACUCUUUAAAAAAAAUAAUGAUCCGUCUUUUUUGUGUAUAUAUAUAUAUAUAUUCUAUCCACCGCUUUUUGGCUCUCAUGAUCGUACAAGGGAUUUACUUUUGACGAAAGAAGCUUUUUUUCCCCCCAUGCAGAUCUAUUUUUUAAUGAUGUUUUUGGCAUUGCUUUUUUAAUGUGAGGAAUAUCCUUGCUUUUGAAAAGAAAUAUACUCAGAGGAUUACGUUUUCGUUUGGUCCUUUUGUUUUUAUCCUUCCCUUUCCAGGACUCUUAAGUGGUGGGUUAAUUCUUCGCAGUUGUUGUCAUUGUUGCUGAUUCUUGCAAAAUAGAUUGUAAACAGUAUGUCAAUAGAUAGCUGCCUCUGUGUAGAUGUAAAUGGCUAGGUACGGUAGUGUGCAAUUUUUUGGAUUAUUUUUGUUUUUUAAAGUAGCUGUAGACUGCUUGGGUCAGGAGGGAACUGUAAAGGCCUGAUUUUGCCAUUGGAGGAGACUUCAACCAGCAGUGAAAAUGUAAAGACCUUCCAAUCUAUGUUGCUGAGAGAGUUGCUGGUGUGUGUGAGAAAACCCACGGAACACUCUGCCUGAUCCCAGAAGACUUGCCCUGGGACUGCUGUGUUCAUUACAAAACAAUCCUGCAAUUAAAAUAAACUCCAAGAGCUAAACAAACUGCCCCUGUUGCUGAUCAUUUGUUAAUUUCAGCUCCUUAUGCCUAAAACAAUUCCCCCCCCCCAGCACUGGUAUCAGAGGAGGCAGCAGCUGGAGUUGUGGAAGGAAUAGGGGGAAACACCCUAAUGUUUGUAAACUACAGGAGGGGAGGACUGGGGGAUAUUAUUAUGUUAAAUAGUGUUUUUAUUGGAGUAUUCAUGAUCUGGCAGGAUCCUUCCUUCUGGGGAAAGGACUGGAAGUGGAAAAACUUGAUUUGCAUGGUAGGGCCUGGCUUUUUGUACACACCCUCUGUACACCAGACCAUACUAAACCAGCUCUGAAGGCUGCUGCAGCUCACUCACAGUCCAAGAAUGUGCAUGGGGACUACACUGGUACUUUUCCAUUCACAUGCCCACAGUGGAGUGGCUUGUUUAUUUCAUCCUUCAUGCAGAAACCUUUUGACUUAGAUACCAAUCAUCAUCACACUCUUCCAUGCAGUCAACAAAGGGACACAGGCUGCAGAAGGGGAGGGAGAGAGAUUUUCAGCCUAUCUGCCUAAAAACCUCCCUGUACUUUCAACUGGAGAAGUUAUUAUUCACUCAUCCACCUAAAAAGAAACCACACAACAGUUGUGUUACUGGUUUCACACAUGUUAUCACACACACACACACUCUCUCUCUCUCUCUCUCUUUCUAAAUACAACCUCAAUUUUCAGAUAUCCCGGAGACUAAAUCUAGAUUACCAAGGGUUUGGAUAAUCAAAGCAAUUGUCAAUGUAAUUACAAGACAGUGAGGGCACAUGGCCCAGUGUCACACAACAGGACAGUUCAGAUAAUGAGGUUUGGAGAACCAGAUAAUCAUAUUUUAUCAGUAAAAUUGGCAUUCACAUCUUAUUGAGAAAGUGUCCUGAUAAUUGACAGAUCUACUUUCUCAUCAUUACUGUGAGAGUCAUAGUGAAACUUGUCCGUCAGAAAUUACUUUUCCCAGGUAAGUGUAAGAGUAGAAUGUUUGCAGUUUUUCUAUCUAUCUAUCUAUCUAUCUAUCUAUCUAUCUAUCUAUCUAUCUAUCUAUCUAUCUAUCUAUCUAUCUAUCUAUCUAUCUAUCUAUCCCUGCAAAUACUUAAAGCCAGGAACAGUAAUUACACAGUAUGUAUGUAAGGGUAUCUUGUUCCCAUCACCAUGUAAGUAAGCAUCACAAUUCUAUGCCACAGGUACCUGAUCUUUGGUUUAAAAGGUAAAUUUCAAACCAAGUACUAGUGAGCAUCCAGCCAAUCACAGAAAAUUAUCCAUCCUCCUCUCUGCCCACAAUCAAUUUUUAACCAAUUACAGACCAAAGUCUGUGGGGCUUGCUUUGUUUUUUUCCUUUUCUGCUGAGUUUGUUGGUGAUUAAGUAGAGCAAAAUUAAGUGAUUCACGUGUAGUGAGGGACAUUUACAAAGACCUUGUACCACUGAUCUAUAACAUUUUCAAAUACAAACAUACAUUCCAUACUCCCUUGCCCAUGCCUUACCCCUGUUUUUGUUCCUGCUGCUUCUUGUUAGAAUUUGUCUCAUUUGAAAAUAUUAAGCAUCAGACUUCUGGAAAUGUAAAACUCAACAUGUAUUUUAAGCUGUGCAGAAAUGCCUUUUUUUAGUACCUCUCUUAACAAUCAACUAAUGAGAU